rnacentral:snRNA from 1 species
GGAUGUGAGGGUGAUCUGGCUGCGACAUCUGUCACCCCAUUGAUCACCAGGGUUGAUUCGGCUGAUCUGGCUGGCUAAGCGGGUGUCCCCUUCCUCCCUCACCGCUCCAUGUGCGUCCCUCCCGAAGCUGCGCACUCGGUCAAAGAGGACGGCCUUCCCCGAAUAGAGACGGACUGGUCUUCGGUCGAGGGUAUAUGAGUAGCUGCGCUCCCCUGCUAGAACCUCCAAACAAGAAAUUAAAAAUAAAUUUAAAAAAAUAAAGUAGCUAUGUUGGUGAUAAUUUUGCAUCUGU